ensembl:snRNA U6 U6 spliceosomal RNA
UUGCUUUGGUAGCACAUAUACUAAAAUUGGAACAAUACGGUGAUAAGCAUGGCCCCUUUGCAAGGGUGACACCCAAAUUUGUGAAGUAUUCCAUUUAUUU